UGGGGAAUAUUGGACAAUGGGCGAAAGCCUGAUCCAGCCAUGCCGCGUGUGUGAAGAAGGUCUUCGGAUUGUAAAGCACUUUAAGUUGGGAGGAAGGGGUUGAAGCUAAUACCUUCAAUCUUUGACGUUACCAACAGAAUAAGCACCGGCUAACUCUGUGCCAGCAGCCGCGGUAAUACAGAGGGUGCAAGCGUUAAUCGGAAUUACUGGGCGUAAAGCGCGCGUAGGUGGUUCAGUAAGAUGGAAGUGAAAUCCCCGGGCUUAACCUGGGAACUGCUUUCAUAACUGCUGAGCUAGAGUACGGUAGAGGGUAGUGGAAUUUCCUGUGUAGCGGUGAAAUGCGUAGAUAUAGGAAGGAACACCAGUGGCGAAGGCGACUACCUGGACUGAUACUGACACUGAGGUGCGAAAGCGUGGGGAGCAAACAGGAUUAGAUACCCUGGUAGUCCACGCCGUAAACGAUGUCAACUAGCCGUUGGGAACCUUGAGUUCUUAGUGGCGCAGCUAACGCACUAAGUUGACCGCCUGGGGAGUACGGUCGCAAGAUUA
rnacentral:rRNA from 1 species